rnacentral:rRNA from 1 species
UGGGGAAUUGUUCACAAUGGGCGCAAGCCUGAUGACGCAACGCCGCGUGGGGGAUGAAGGUCUUCGGAUCGUAAACCCCUGUCGAAUGGGACGAAAGACUCGCGAGUGAAUACUUCGCGAGAGUGACGGUACCGUUAAAGGAAGCCACGGCUAACUCUGUGCCAGCAGCCGCGGUAAUACAGAGGUGGCAAGCGUUGUUCGGAAUUACUGGGCGUAAAGGGCGCGUAGGCGGCAAUUCAAGUCAUCUGUGAAAUCUCCGGGCUUAACUCGGAACGGUCAGAUGAUACUGCUUUGCUAGAGUGCAGAAGGGGCAAUCGGAAUUCUUGGUGUAGCGGUGAAAUGCGUAGAUAUCAAGAGGAACACCUGAGGUGAAGACGGGUUGCUGGGCUGACACUGACGCUGAGGCGCGAAAGCCAGGGGAGCAAACGGGAUUAGAUACCCCUGUAGUCCCUGAGCGGGCUGGCAAGGCGCAU